GUGUCCAAGUGAUUUUGCAAAUCUUGGCUUGGAUUGUUGGCUGGUAGUGCAAUCUAAUAUUAUUAUAGUUUGGUAGUUUAUUUUAUUUUGGCACAAUAUUCAUUUGGAUAAAAAAUACUAGAAUGGAGUCAGAAAUCAAGGAAGAAAUUGAAGCUUUCCUGAAUGCUCCAAUGGAUAUUGGCAGAAGCGACUAUGAAUUAUCCUUGAAGGCUGAAUUAGACUAUGAGAAUCAGUCAAAAAUGUCCACAUGUGACCAAAUAACAGAUAGCAAAUCACCAGUCUCAGAGCACAAUUCAUUAAGUGGAGAAUCAGAUUCCAGGUUGACUAAGGCCAUUGAAAAAGAAGUGUGUGGUGGUAGAAUAGCCAAAGUAGUAUCAGUAAGUUUGGAGGAUUCGUUUGAAGGCUGCAAUCAACAGAAGUUAUGUCCAUACCAGAUGGCGACAGUUACUGUUAAAAAGGAGGAGGAGGAGGAGGAGGAGGAUGAUAGCAGCCAGCAACCAGCUGCAGUGGAAGAUGAUUGCAGCCAACAACAUUAUCUAAUCCCUGGCUACAACAUGAUCUUCAUCAAAGAGGAGGCAUAUGAUGAGCAAGAGGCUGAAGAAAGUGCAGUGAAGUGCGAACCAGAGAUGUGGCCUUCAAACUGCAGCACAUCUGGCCGAGACUAUGCAACAGGAGUGGGUGGACUGAAUGAGCAUUCAACCUCUCCAGUGGAAAAGUGCACUGAGUCAUCUGUGGCUGGCAAAAAGACCAAGCUGUACAGCUGUGCUGACUGUAGCUAUAAGACACCAAAGUUUAGUCAUUUGAAGAUGGCGACAGUUACUGUUAAAAAGGAGGAGGAGGAGGAUGAUAGCAGCCAGCAACCAGCUGCAGUGGAAGAUGAUUGCAGCCAACAGCAUUAUCUAAUCCCUGGCUACAACAUGAUCUUCAUCAAAGAGGAUGCAUAUGACGAGCAAGAGGCUGAAGAAAGUGCAGUGAAGAGCGAACCAGAGAUGUGGCCUUCAAACUGCAGCACAUCUGGCCGAGACUAUGCAACAGGAGUGGGUGGACUGAAUGAGCAUUCAACCUCUCCAGUGGAAAAGUGCACUGAGUCAUCUGUGGCUGGCAAAAAGACCAAGCUCUACAGCUGUGCUGACUGUAGCUAUAAGACACCAAAGUUUAGUCAUUUGAAGAUGGCGACAGUUACUGUUAAAAAGGAGGAGGAGGAGGAUGAUAGCAGCCAGCAACCAGCUGCAGUGGAAGAUGAUUGCAGCCAACAGCAUUAUCUAAUCCCUGGCUACAACAUGAUCUUCAUCAAAGAGGAUGCAUAUGACGAGCAAGAGGCUGAAGAAAGUGCAGUGAAGAGCGAACCAGAGAUGUGGCCUUCAAACUGCAGCACAUCUGGCCGAGACUAUGCAACAGGAGUGGGUGGACUGAAUGAGCAUUCAACCUCUCCAGUGGAGAAGUGCACUGAGUCAUCUGUGGCUGGCAAAAAGACCAAGCUAUACAGCUGUGCUGACUGUAGCUAUAAGACACCAAAGUUUAGUCAUUUGAAGAUGGCGACAGUUACUGUUAAAAAGGAGGAGGAGGAGGAUGAUAGCAGCCAGCAACCAGCUGCAGUGGAAGAUGAAUGCAGCCAACAACAUUAUCUAAUCCCUGGCUACAACAUGAUCUUCAUCAAAGAGGAGGCAUAUGAUCAAGGAAGAAAUUGAAGCAUUCCUGAAUACUCCAAUGAAUAUUGGCAGAAGCGACCAUGAAUUAUCCUUGAAGGCUGAAUUAGACUAUGAGAAUCAGUCAAAAAUGUCCACAUGUGACCAAAUAACAGAUAGCAAAUCACCAGUCUCAGAGCACAAUUCAUUGAGUGGAGAAUCAGAUUCCAGGCUGACUAAGGCCAUUGAAAAAGAAGUGUGUG
rnacentral:misc_RNA from 1 species